CGUGGCGGACGGGUGAGUAACGCGUGGGUAACCUGCCUCAUACAGGGGGAUAACGGUUAGAAAUGACUGCUAAUACCGCAUAAGCGCACAGUACCGCAUGGUACGGUGUGAAAAACUCCGGUGGUAUGAGAUGGACCCGCGUCUGAUUAGCUAGUUGGUGGGGUAACGGCCCACCAAGGCGACGAUCAGUAGCCGACCUGAGAGGGUGACCGGCCACAUUGGGACUGAGACACGGCCCAG
rnacentral:rRNA from 1 species